GGUAGGGUGGCCGAGUGUUUAGGCGGCGGAUUGUAGCUCCGCGGACAGAGGUUUGAGUCCUUUUUCUACCA
ensembl:Mt_tRNA